rnacentral:RNase_P_RNA from 1 species
CGGGCCGGCAAGACGGUCGCGUCGGCAUCCGCUCUCGUAUCGGAGGCCGCCGAGGAACGUCCGGGCUCCACAGAGCAGGACGGUGGGUAACACCCACCCGGGGCAACCCGCGAGACAGUGCCACAGAAAACAGACCGCUCGCGUUCGCGUGAGUAAGGGUGAAACGGUGGUGUAAGAGACCACCAGCGACCGGGGCGACCCGGCCGGCUCGGUAAACCUCGUCCGGAGCAAGGUCAGACAGGGGACCAUGAGGCUGCUCGCCUCGUUCCCGGGUAGACCGCUAGAGGGCCGCGGCAACGCGGCUCCGAGAUAGAUGGCCGUCCAGGAUGUGCCGUGCCGCAAGCACAGCACAUUCCAACAGAACCCGGCGUAUCAGCCGGCCCGUUCC